UUUAGCAUUUUUGAGGUGGGCUGUAAAAGUGGCUGCCUGCAGUCCUGCUCCUGAGUUGUGGGGAUUCCCUGGGCUGACUUCUGACAUGAGAUACGUUGUGCCUGGUGCUCCUUUGGGGGACUGACGACCCUGCUUCAUUCACAAUUUUAACUGUAGUUCUUUGCUACUUUAAUGCAGAAUCACUUAUCUGAGCAAGCAUCAACACAUUUCAAGCAAUGCCAGCUCAAAGAUUCUGGGAACAAGAACCUAUUCCCUUGUGUGUCAUAAGAGUAGCCACACCACACAGAAAAGGCAUAAUUAGUAUCUGGAACAACCACAAGAGAGAAAUAUGUACAUGAAACCCAAGACUUGGCAAAUGCUCUGGACUUAAGCUGGGGGUCUUUGAGGAGCUGUGGGACGAUGGACUGCAAGGCGUCGAAUCCUUCACUGCUGUCAUUUCACUCUGACUCCUCAACACAUUUUCUGCCUGUUGAGCUGUUUGAAAAACAGGGUCAAGUACUGCCUGCCUUACCCUUUUGUUUACCACAGCAACAGAUGGAUCAUUCACUUGUGCAUUGCUCAACAUUUGAAACCAAAACCCAUGUAAUUGGAGCAGGGGACUUUGGGCUGAUCUGCACAAAUAGUUGAACUGAACUUGACUGUGAUCAGUUAUGGAAAACAUCACUUGGAAACACAGUGUUUUGACUGAUAGCAAUUGUGUCUUAGCUUGGUAGUUUAUGAACCCAAAACAAAGUUUUAAAUCGAUAUGACAACUUACCAACUGUAAAUUGCUCUAAGUCAUAACAGAUAUAAGUUAUUACAACUGUGUCCCCAAAGGAGUUUCUGAGGGAUUCACAGAAUUAGUUUAAUAACUGAUUGUAGUUAAACUGGUGGGAACAAUUUUGUGUAAACCAGUCCUUGGGGCUGGGAGGUUUCAUGGUGAAUCAGGUGAAGAGUGGCACAGCAGCGCCUGAGGAGAAACAUCAAGGACUGUUUGGAGCUUCACACAUAGGUCUGCUUUGCAAGGAGGUCAGUGUGUGUCAGCAAAGCACCUUUUCUUUUGCUGUUGUUGGAAAGACACAAAGAUCUUCCAAAAACUAAAUCAAGAAUGCUUAUAACCAAGUGACACAAACUGCUAGUACAGUGCAGUUAAAUUAUGUUGCUUCCAGUUUUCUAAAAAUGUAUUAGCGUGAUACCUAAUUUUCAGCAGGCUCUGGUAGAGCAAUUAUUGCUUAUCUUUGUCAUCUGGCAAGAUGCUUCUGGAUCUAGUUAUCCUGCCAAGUGUAUAAAUUCUGCAUUGUGUGCACCAUCUCCUUCUGACAGAAAUUUGUUUCUGUGAGCGUGUCUAAUCUCUAUCAGACUUGCUCUGGGCAUGGAUCAGUAUUAAUGAUUUUUAUUUCCUAGCUUAAGAAAUAGCAGCCAGGGUAUGCAUUAUACUAUUCCACUGUCCCCUGACUGAGGUUGUGUAGACUGGGCCACACACAUACUGUGGUGUGGUAUAGUUUCCUUGGAAAGAUAACAGGAUAUCAAAGGAAGAUUUGAGUCAGUGAUGUGGGAGAGAAAAAUGCUCAGUGCUCCUGCUGUGUAUGGGCAGGAAAAGUCAGCAAAUAUUUUAAGGUAGCGGCAGUGAGAGCACUGAUCACACAAUUUGCAGCAUCUUUGGAGAGUAUAGCUCAGAUAUCAUUCCCUUAGGCAUCCAGAUGGAUAGGGUUCAAAACUUCAUCUUGAAUAUUGAUGGCAAUGGGAACAGCUGUUCACCACCAUGUUAAGGUGUAAACAAGGUGUGGUUUAAUGGGUGCAAAAGCAUCUGUUUGCAAAGAUCAACCCAACCUUCCCCACUAGAUGCAAGCUCUUAGGGCGGGCUCCAGCUGAGCCUGUCCUGUGGGCCAGACCCAGACUCACCCUGACCCUGCACCCAGCCCUGUGCUUGGGAGGACCCAAAAUGUGGCUCCAAUGGGCCUGACUUCCAUACCACAGGCUUGGGCUCUACAGCGCUGUCUGUGCACCUGAAGAUGAGUUUACCAUCACCUCAGCUAACACAAAGUGCCAUAACCUCUUUUAGAUCAUGAAAGACAGAUCAUACACUGAUCAGUGAUAUCUGCCACCUUUGACAGUCCUCUUGGCAGAGAGCUUUGUGAGGGAUUCAACGUAAAGAUUAAUUUCUGUUGAGUCAGGGAAGGAGUAAGUGAGAAUCUGGCUAACCCACACUCAUUCUGUCUAUGGUGAAAGGGUUUGGGCUCUUCUGGCCUUUUUUUGGUGUCAUUGUUUUGGUGGUUGGUUGGGGUUUUUUUAUACAGUUAGACAAUUUCAAUGAGCAGGAUUAACUUCACUACAGUAAGUAAAAGACACCGUGCCCUUAUUAACAGUCUGUCAGCCUGGACUUACUUCCUAAAUUAAUGUAUGACAGGAUGGGUGUCAGUUUCUGAGGAGUCAGUAAUAGAGGGUGGGAAGCAGCGUGAUGUACUCCCAGCUCACCCUCAGUAAAUUCACUGAGCUGUGUACACAUUGCACAGAUAGAAACUGUUUGUUCAAGGAUGGCAUCAGGCUCCACUCUCACCACAGAACCAAGCUCAUUAGGAGCUUGCAAGCCUCAAAAGAUAGAUCUUUAUCUUCUCUACUUUAGGUAUGAAAUGCACAGGAAAUACAAAACAAUCCCUGGCUACAGAACACUGUCAGCAUCUGGUGUUUCUGGGGGAAAUGCCCUGGGUUUUUCUCCUGUCCCACUCGUGGUACUGCAAAGUUAAUAAUCUGAAGUAGUGUGCUCAUGAUGGCACAGAACAAAGAAUUUUAAUGACAUCCUAUUUAUAUCAUAAAAGGCUCUGUGCAUGUGUCACCCUUGUAUUUUGAUGUAGCUGUCUCUCAAAUAUCUUCUGAUAGACAUCUCUGCCAGUCAUUGCGAGGCAGCAGUAGGAGUAAAAUAUGCUAGGGCAUUUAACACAAUACUGGGUAUUUUUAUUGGACCUGUAUUCCUGGCUGUGUAGUACUCCAAGCUACACUUGGUUUGGAAGGGUUUUUCCUUGUAAAGAAAGGGCAGUGAGAUUCUUAUAGUUGUGUAUUAUCAUGUGAUGUGCUACAGCCCAGAGACCCCCACCCACAUGCAGAAUACCAUUGUAGUCUGCUUGGACCAGGCAUGACAAAGAAAUACUAAAAAUAUGAGUGAGAGCUGGGGCAGAAGGACAAGGGUAAGAACAGCAAGGGAAAGGGGUGCUUGGCUGUGAACCCCUGCAGGGAUAUAUGCUGCAUGGGUCACCUCAAGCUGUCCUGUGGCUAAUCUCAGCAGCUCCCACCGUGAUUCAGGGCUUAGGAAUGAGGAUGCAAAUGCAGGCAGCCAGUGUAGGCCCUGGUGGCUAGUGAGCAGUUAUGUUCUCAAAUCAUCAAAACAGAGGAGAGACCUAGCCCUGCCAUUAGUCUUUUGUUCCAGCUUCUAACCCAAACAUAAAUGAGGACAGGAGAUGGUUGCUCUCAGCAGAUCCCACCAAACUGGGAAAGCAGCAGAUGAAAUAGCUGCACAGGUAUCCAGGAUCUAAAAAGAUAGUUCCUAUCCCAGCAAUUUUUAAGAAGGCCUCACUUUCCUCUUCCAUAUCUUGAGAUUUCUUUCAGUGACCUCUCUCAGAGUAUGAAAUUAAUUCUGGUGGAUACAGACAAUAGUUUAGUUUGCUGGUGCUGUAAAUAAUUUAAUUUAAGAAUUAUAUAUUAUAUUUACGCUGAAACUUCCAGGAUCAAAGUGACCUUGCUGUGAUAUGGAGAUUCUACUUACAAUAACCAUCAUCACACAGAUGGAGAAAUUACAGCUAACCCAGUAUCACACAAAAUCUCUCCAUCACAGCUGAGAAGAAAAUAACAAUCUGUUGGUCCUUGGUUCCCAAAAAGAAGUAUUUUUAUAACUCUUACAUGGCUAAUAACCUUUGUACAUCUUUGUGCAUUAGUAGCUGUCUUCUACGCUGUAUUUUUUUAUAAAUGAGCUUGUAUCAGAUGAUGGAUAAUUGAGACUCUAUCAGGUGCACUGUACUCUGACACAGUUUUCAUUACUUUCAUUACUGCCUUGUCCCAGCCUUCAUUUUCAUCACACUUUGGGUUUUUUUAGGUUUUAUAAGAAUGUGUGAUCUGCCCUGGGAAGAAAAGACACAAAUUAAUCCAAAUCUUCACUGUGCAAAUAGUCUGAAAUAUCCCAUCCAGUGUCCAGAAAGAUAGUAAUUUUAAAGAAAGGUAUCUCUUUUCCUAACCCUUGGGUUUUUUUCAGUUUUUAAUUGCAGCUAAUGCUCUUUAUUUUACAUCUCAGUGGAGGCAUUUAAAGCUGUGCAAAGUGAGCGUGUUUUUUUAAAAGCCUCCUAUUUCACCCUGACAAAAAUGACCAUACACAGUGUGGAGCGAUACAGAACUUUUUUUCUCCGAGCUGACUGGAUCUAUCAGUGUGGACGAUUGAACACACUGGCAUUCAGUUCUGUCAAAAGCAAAACCCCAUAAUGUGCCCUGUUCCAGCAAAUACUGAUCUCCUUUGUUGCAAGGCUUUCUGUAUGCAUCAUUAGUCACUUGACAUUCGGUGUACCCUAGAAACCCAGAAACAGCAGCAUCAAUGCUUAUUUGUUUAUAUAUUUUAAGAAACUUCAUUUAUGGUUUCACUUCAGUCACAUCACUUCACAAAUAAUCUUUCAUGAGCCUGUCUCAUCAGAAAAUAACUGGAGACUGGCCAACAUGCCCAUGGCCUUACCAUUUUUAUUCCUUACUCCAAUGACUCAACUCACCCACCCACCCCACUAGGACCUCUGUAGUACUCCUGACCUCCCCGAGGGCUGCUAAAACUAUUCAUAGCUCAAAUUCACGGACUGACUGACACAGAAGACCACAUUCACGAGACAUGGGUAGAGCUAAGCUGCUUUAGCUGUAGGCUUAAUCCAGCAGAUGGAGCAGCUGCCUGACACUGUGGAAACAGCCUGUAUUUUUGUCCAGGGCAGAAUGAGCUGGUGGCUUGCUGCACCUGGUAAUUUUUAACUAAAAUGUGGUCAUUAUUUUUUGCAAGCAUCCACAGGUUCUUCCCCGCUGGAUAUUUUGGAAAACUUUUACUACUUCCUGUGCUUGUGUGCUCCCAUUAAAAUAGUUUCCAACUUCAGAGUUUGUCAUUAGGCUCUUAGAGCUGGCAAGGCAAGUGGUGAUCUCUGCUGUAAAUCUAGAAUGUCAU